rnacentral:rRNA from 1 species
UAGUGAUACGCUGCGGCGAAAGAUAUAAGCCAUGCAUAUGUCAGUAUAAGCGUUAAUAUCGUGAGACUGUGAACGGCUCAUUAGGCUCAGUUAUAGUUUAUUUGAUAAUGGUGCCUCGAUUAUGUGGGCGCAAAAUUUUUAAUUGGAUAACCGUAGUAAUUCUAGAGCUAAUACAUGCAUAGAACUGGUCUGACUGGGGUUGUAAAAAAACUCUGGAAGGAUUGUAUUUAUUAGAAAGAAAGAAAAUUCAAUGUUUUUAAAAGCGUGAAUGAUAAUAA